CACCUGGGGGUCACCCCUUCCCCUGGGACCCCCUCCCCAAAAAUACCCUCGGGUGCUGGAAAGUCCCCAGAUCCUAACUUCCCCUUCACCGGUGGGGGGGUGCUUGUGUAUGGGGGGGGGGGACGGACACAGGGCUGGGGACAUCUGGGUCCCACUGACACCCCCUUUCCCCUCCUGCGCAGGGUGCCACGGCCGCCCACCUGUUGCUGAGCACCGGCUCGCUGGCAGUGUCCUCCAGACCCGUGUGGCGCUAUGAGGAAGGCAUCAGCGGAGUCUUCCUCAGCAGUGAUGUGCAGGCGACGGCCGCGGGGCUGCGGGUGGCGGCGGGGGGGCUCUACCUCCUCUACGGCCAGUUUGCCCUUGCCUGCAUAGCCGAAAAUUGUCCCCCCGGCAAUGUCACCCUCCAGCUCCGCCGCGCUGGCUCAGCGCCCCCACUGCUGUCCGUGCCGUUGGCGUUGCCCAGCGGCACCGAACCCGGCCCGGCCCGCUCAGGUUUGGCUCAGGCCGUGGGACAGCUGCAGCCUGGUGACGUCCUCGACGUGGCGCUGGUCGGGGACAUCAACGGGGACGAGUGGCAGAUGGCUCAGGACCAGCGGGAGGGCAAUUUCGUGGGGCUGCUGCGCAUCGCCGGGGGGUGACGGUGGGGACACGGCCCCUGCUGGCACGGAGGGGGGGGCCAGAGAGGUUUGGGGACGGUCACCCUCCCCCUUGGAGGUUUGGGAACAUCGAGGGACGUUGCUGGCCUCUGUAUCUGAAGAUCUCGGGACAUCGCUGACCUCCAUGCCCUGAGAUUUGGGUCCCAACCCCCCAUGCCCAGAGACCUGGGGACAUCAAGAGACAUGGCUGACCUCCAUGCCUGGAGAUCUGGGGCUGGUGACACCCCUGCUUGGAGGCUGGGGACAUGGGAGACCUCCACCCUUGAAGAUUUGGGACAUUAAGGGACAUUGCAGACCACCCCCCCCCCCCCCACCAUUGAAUAUUUGGUGCUGGAGACCCCCAGCUUGGAGAUUUGGGGACAUCAAGUGACUUUGCAGACCUUCAUGCCUGGACAUGGGGGACACCAAGGGAUCUUGCAGGCCCCCCUGCCUGCAGAUUUGGGGUGCUAAAGCCCCCUCCUUGGGGGCAUCAAGGAACCUCGCAGGCCCGCCCCUCAUGCUGGACAUUUGGGGACAUUGAGGGACCUCACAGACUCCCAUUUUGGGGACAGCAGGGACUGUGGAUCCCCCCCAUGCCUCCCUGCUGCCCUCCCUUCCUCCCCCCAGCCGGCCUGGGGGGGGCCCUCCCCCCUUAAGUUAUUGUCUGGUACUCAAAACCACUUUAUUUAUUGGUUAAGUAAAUUUAUUUAUGGUU